rnacentral:rRNA from 1 species
UAAAGGGCGAGUAGACGGUACUACAAGUCAGAUGUGAAAUGCUAGAGCUCAACUUUAGAACUGCAUCUGAAACUGUAGAACUAGAGUGCAGGAGAGGUAAGCGGAAUUCCUAGUGUAGCGGUGAAAUGCGUAGAUAUUAGGAGGAACACCAGUGGCGAAGGCGGCUUACUGGACUGUAACUGACGUUGAGGCGCGAAAGUGUGGGGAGCAAACAGGAUUAGAUACCCUGGUAGUCCACACCGUUAACGAUGGAUACUAGGUGUAGGCAUGAAUGUGUCUGUGCCGGCGCAAACGCAAUAAGUAUCCCACCUGGGGAGUACGGCCGCAAGGUUGAAACUCAAAGAAAUUGACGGGGGCCCGCACAAGCAGUGGAGUAUGUGGUUUAAUUCGACGCAACGCGAAGAACCUUACCAAGACUUGACAUAUACAGGAAUAUCUAAGAAAUUAGAUAGUCUUUCGGGACUUGUAUACAGGUGAUGCAUGGUUGUCGUCAGCUCGUGUCGUGAGAUGUUGGGUUAAGUCCCGCAACGAGCGCAACCCUCGUGAUUAGUUGCCACCAAGUGGAACUCUAAUCAGACUGCCGUAGUUAAUACGGAGGAAGGUGAGGAUGACGUCAAAUCAUCACGUCCCUUAUGUCUUGGGCUACACACGUACUACAAUGGUUGCUACAGAGAGAAGCGAAACCGCGAGGUGGAGCAAAACUGAAAAAAGCAGCCCCAGUUCGGAUUGCAGGCUGAAACUCGCCUGUAUGAAGUUGGAAUUGCUAGU